CCUUGCUUUGGCAGGGUAUCCUUGGGAAUAUGAGACAAUUAUAACUCCAAAAUCAUCCCAUUUCAGGCUUGUCCACUAGUCACAGAUGACUCACCAUCGUGGAUGAUUCUCAAGCAACAGUCAUUAGAAGCUAUGGAACCACAUACAGAAAUUUCAUUCCUGUACCAGGUCUAUUUACAUAAUGCUGCAAAGUAUGCAUUCGAAUCAUACAUCAGGAAGCAGACAAAAGGCCCAGCCAUAAAGAUUGUGAAUAAUGCCAAUGAAGGAUUCAUUGAACCAUCAAAUUUUCAAAAUGUGUUUAUGAACACAGCUGGAACUCAGUAAGUACUUUGUGAUAUAUGCAAUAUAU
rnacentral:lncRNA from 1 species